rnacentral:lncRNA from 10 species
GCGCCUCCUCCUCCGCACAGCUCCGGUUGCGGGGAGGCCCGGGUGGGUACCCGGCGCUCCGGCUCCCAGUCUCCUGGGCUUCUCCAGUCCUUCAGCGCCGUUCUCCGGUCACAGGGAAUGAAAGCGAGGAAGAAGGAAACGGUGUCGAGAAUUGCGAAGAGAGAAAGCAUAGAAAACCCACAUUAGAGGCACUCCCAGAGCAGAAACCCUUCGGAGCAUCCCGACUUCCUCGGCCCGCGUGCAAUCCAGGCAAAAUUGAGGUUGUCUCUGAGCCGCCCUCCCUAAGCAGGUCGGAAAGCCCCCGAAUCAUCCCAGGUCCCGCCGCGCUGCACUCGCAACCUGGGGUGGAGGUCCCUCUAGUGGUUGGCACCAAACAAAAGUUCUGUCUUAUGAAGAGCCGAGGUCAGGAAGCAUUUCCCUGUGCCCAGCGCCAAGGUCUGGGACCUUAGGUCCAAGAAAAGCGUUGGCAAUGUCUGACCACAGGAAUGGGUUCUCGAACUGGGGAGGACUGAAGCUGGAGAUCUGGUCCAGCCCCUACCUCCAGCGUGUGGCCUGAACCCGUUUUGGUUGUACUGCUAUGUUGUGGCCCUGCCCAGGCCUCCAAGGACUGGCUGCUGUUAAGCUGUUUAAAAUCCCUGUAGGCCUCAGAUGGCAGCGACACCAGGGACUCGGCAUAGUCCCCAGCUCUGGCAGGAGUCACCACAGCCCUAGCCUUUAGUUCUCUACAGGCUGGAGUGUCGACAAACUCCACAGGACACAACUUUUUCAAACCAAAUUUACCCUCGCGGUCUGAAAUGACCAGUAGGCCCAGGAGAAUUUUACAUGUGAACAGAACCUAACCCACCCUGGCAAAUAUGAGACGUGUGGUCACUGCGGGAACCUGGCCAGCAGCAGACCAAAGCACAGCCAGCAGGGGAAGGCUGGGGCCCGCAAGAGUUGUGUUACAACAGGACACCCUUCAGUUCUCUUUCACUUCCUUAAAAUAGCAGCAGAGCGACUUUUGUAGACGCAGGCUGCCACAGUUCACACAAGGUCAUGGCUGUUUCCGAAUCCCACCCUUUAUUGCCCUAGCGGAGCCACUCCCCUUACCUCCGCCCCCAGAAACUGCUAGCCUGUUCUUAAAUUGAUACAGUUACCUUUUUAAAUGUUCUAAGUCACCGGCUCUGGAGCUUCUUUGCACUUUGGAACCAACUUGCGGGAAGGAACUUUAAAAAUACUGAUAUCUCGAUCCAUCCCCAGAGGUUCUGAUUUAAUGGUCUUGGGGAUAUGGCCACGGCAUGAGGACUGUUAAAACUCCGCAGGUGAUUCUUAUGUGCAACAAAGUUUAAGAACCACUGAUGUAGGCCAUGUCGAUGUCAGUCUUCACUUAAAUCCAACAAGACCCCAGAGCUAAAACGUUCACCUGAAAGAAACCCCAUUCCCAGGCCUGCAUACUGACCUGCGCUGGCUCACAAGAAGCAAAGUGGUCCCUUAACAGGGGCUUCCUGGAGAAAAUGUCUUGACCUAAAAGAGUGAUUCGAGCUGCAGGGAUUUAAGCCUACUCAUUGUGAAGAGGAUGAUGCGGAUGAAGACCUUUAUGAUGAUCCACUUCCACUUAAUGAACCGUAUAUCUAUUUUCUUUUCCUUAUGAUUUUCUUAAUGACAUUUUCUUUUCCUAGCUUACUUUAUUUUAAGAACAAAGCCACAGGGCUCUUUCUUCCAGCUGUAAUGCAUUACUUCAGAGGCAGCUUUCUCUUUGUCUGGAUUUGUAAAUAAGAAAGGACCAGAUAACAUUCACAAUAUGUGUUAAUUGAUGUUUAAGUUAUCAGUCAGUCUUCUGGUCAACAGCAGACUAUCAGUAAUUAAGUUUUGG